GACCUGAUGGUGUAGUGGUAACACAGCUGCUGUGCAUAGAGUCGAUAUACGAAGCAGAAGAUUCUUUGUUCGACUCAAGGCCAGGCCA